AUUGAACGCUGGCGGCAGGCUUAACACAUGCAAGUCGAGCGGGGAAAUAUAGCUUGCUAUAUGACCUAGCGGCGGACGGGUGAGUAAUGCUUAGGAAUCUGCCUAUUAGUGGGGGACAACAUUUCGAAAGGGAUGCUAAUACCGCAUACGCCCUACGGGGGAAAGCAGGGGAUCAGUUGACCUUGCGCUAAUAGAUGAGCCUAAGUCGGAUUAGCUAGUUGGUGGGGUAAAGGCCUACCAAGGCGACGAGCUGGAGCGGGUCUGAGAGGAUGAUCCGCCACACUGGGACUGAGACACGGCCCAGACUCCUACGGGAGGCAGCAGUGGGGAAUAUUGGACAAUGGGGGGAACCCUGAUCCAGCCAUGCCGCGUGUGUGAAGAAGGCCUUUUGGUUGUAAAGCACUUUAAGCGAGGAGGAGGCUCCUGUAGAUAAUACCUACAGUGAGUGGACGUUACUCGCAGAAUAAGCACCGGCUAACUCUGUGCCAGCCGCCGCGGUAA
rnacentral:rRNA from 1 species